rnacentral:rRNA from 1 species
UCUGGCGGCAGUAGCGCGGUGGUCCCACCUGACCCCCUGCCGAACUCAGAAGUGAAACGCCGUAGCGCCGAUGGGAGUGUGGGGU